rnacentral:rRNA from 1 species
AUGAACGCUGGCGGCGUGCCUAAUACAUGCCAGUCGAGCGAACAGAUGAGGAGCUUGCUCCUCUGACGUUAGCGGCGGACGGGUGAGUAACACGUGGAUAACCUACCUAUAAGACUGGGAUAACUUCGGGAAACCGGAGCUAAUACCGGAUAAUAUAUUGAACCGCAUGGUUCAAUAGUGAAAGACGGUUUUGCUGUCACUUAUAGAUGGAUCCGCGCCGCAUUAGCUAGUUGGUAAGGUAACGGCUUACCAAGGCAACGAUGCGUAGCCGACCUGAGAGGGUGAUCGGCCACACUGGAACUGAGACACGGUCCAGACUCCUACGGGAGGCAGCAGUAGGGAAUCUUCCGCAAUGGGCGAAAGCCUGACGGAGCAACGCCGCGUGAGUGAUGAAGGUCUUCGGAUCGUAAAACUCUGUUAUUAGGGAAGAACAAAUGUGUAAGUAACUAUGCACGUCUUGACGGUAUCUAAUCAGAAAGCCACGGCUAACUACGUG